AUUGAAACACUGGUUCUCGUAUGAUAACCAAAGUUAAGCAAUGUUGAGCCUGAUUGGUACCAUGGGUGACCUCUUGGAAAUACCAGCUGUUGUAAG